rfam:Thalassiosira oceanica strain CCMP1005 To_g37582, whole genome shotgun sequence.
GUCUUAUUCGUACAGUGGUUAGUAUUCUGCAUUGUGGUUGCAGCGACCGGAGUUCGAUUCUCCGAUAGGACA